rnacentral:lncRNA from 1 species
GAGGUCUGAAUGGAAUGGAAUGCAAUGGAAAGGAAGCACAUGUAUUAAACAAAAAACUCUUAAGAGGGAAAAACUAUAAAGUGGUUCUCAGCAGUAGGUGGGGAUUUGGAGUAGGGCCAUCUGUGUUCAUUUGUGGCCAUAUGUGUCUAUUUUAAAAGUCAUAGGGUUUGAACUGGAUCUGUGGCUGACUUGCCCAAUUCUGGCUUGGGAGUAAUACUUUUCAUUAUUUUCUAUUCAUUUGUGCCUUAAUAUAAUUGUUAAACACAGGGGAAAAAUGGCCACUAAGAAUCUCAUUUUGUUUUUGAAACCUCAACAUUAAAUAAAACCAAGAAACACAAAUUUUUAUAUGUAUUGGAUAUUACAGUUAGGAAAAAAUAUUUUUGUAUGAAGGAGCAAAUUUACAUUUGGUCCUCUAUUUUCCUUAGCUUCUGUAACCACAGCUUCUUUUUUAACCUUAGAAAUAUUGGUGGAGAGAUUGAUUUGCACCUACAGAUCAAUUGCUAUCCUUCACAACUGCAAUCAAG